GUACAGGAGGGCUCGACAUCAAAAAGACCGACACACACUCCUCCCUCUAUUCAGCAGGCUACAUAGAAUCACUCUCAGGGCUAAAGUAGCCUACCACUGCUCACUAAACAGACGAGAAGGCACGCUUUACUUGAGCUUCUAACGGGAUAAAAAAACACGAUGGAGUUACUGGAUGGGUUACAUGAGACGAGACUCAUUUAGAUAGCCCGACCGAAAGCCUCAAAAACCGUCCGUGCUCACCCGGCUCUUUUCUCCUUUUGUUAUCGGUGUAAAAACUUCGGCUCUGUCAGCAUUUACGGACCACCCACCCCACACACGUUACCUUUGACACGGGUUGUCCCAGUUUGACUUUCGAGGGCUUUUUGCCACUGGGAGAGAAAAAAAGACAAGCUUCAACCUUACUCUGUAAUCGCAAAGCUCAUCUUUAAAUCAAAGAAAAGUGGAAGCAGCUGUCGGACAGGGUACUUAAGUCAGUGGGAUGUUAGAGCGCUGGAAGCAGGACUGACAGAAGGAGCAUGGUGAAACACCAACCCCUCCAGGUCUAUGAGCGCCAGCUGUGUUUGUCAUGUAUCACUGGGAUCUACGGUUGCCGUUGGAAACGAUAUCAACGUUCCCAUGAUGACACCACCAAGUGGGAGUUGCUGUGGUCCCUCAUCCUCCUCUUCACCUUCUCUCUGCUGCUGGUCUGGUUCUACUUCUGGUGGGAGGCACAUAACGACUAUAAUGAGUUCAACUGGUUCCUCUACAACCGCUCCGGGGAGUGGAGUGAUGGCACUGUUCCCAUCCUGGCCACCACCGCUGCUGGCUUCACCUACAUUGCAUUUUUAAUGGUUUUAGCACUUUGCCACAUUGCACUUGGGCAACAGUUGAAUUUGCACUGGAUCCAUAAGAUAGGAGUGGCUACUGCUCUGCUCACCACCAUCAUUGGGGUAAUAUCUGUCAAUCAAACAUGGGGUCAAGAGUGGGAUGUCAUCCCCAUUUCCCUACAGGCUACUGGGCCGUUCCUGCACAUCGGGGCUCUUGCUGCAGUAACAGCACUGUCUUGGAUUGUGGCUGGACAGGUUGCCCGCUCAGAAAAAACAAUGUUUCAGGUAGUGGUCAUGCUGCUGUAUCUCACUGUGUUACUGGGACUCUAUGUGGUACCUCUUUACAUCACCUCCCCGUGCAUAAUGGACCGCAACUCCCUCAAACAACGCCCUGAUGUCAUUGGCCACCAGGGAGCCCCCAUGCUUGCUCCUGAGAACACACUGUGGUCCUUCCAGCGAGCUCUGCAGAUGAACGUCACUGGGUUUGAGGCUGAUGUCACUAUCAGUGAGGAUGGAGUGCCUUUCCUGAUGCAUGACCACACCCUGCAGAGGACCACAGAUGUACAGAAGGUUUUCCCAGACAGAGCAACGAUUGAUGCUUCCUACUUCAACUGGACGGAUCUGCAGCAUCUCAAUGCAGGACAGUGGUUCCUAAAGGGUGACCCUUUCUGGACUGUGCACAUGCUGUCCCCACACGAGAAGGAUCUGAUUACCAACCAGAGUGUGUGCAGCCUGGAGCAGCUUCUGAAACUGGCUUCCUAUCACAACACCACAGUGGUGUUUAGGCUGAGGAGACCUCCUCCAGAACACCCCUGCCAUUACAGCUGGAUCAAUGAUACUCUGCAGGCUGUGCAGCAGUCUGGCAUUCCUCAGAGCCUGGUGAUGUGGACUCCAAAUGAAGACAGAGCGAUGGUGAAACAGCUGGCCCCUGGUCUGAUCCAGACCUCACUGGAGAAGCUGAAUCCUAAGAGUCUAGAUCAGUCUGGCAUCAGCAGGCUGCUGCUCAGAUACAACCAGGCCAGCACACAGGAAAUCAGAGACUUCUCCCAGAGCAAUGUCAACCUCACUCUUUACACUGUCAACGAGCCCUGGCUCUACUCGGUGCUCUGGUGCAGCGGGGUGUCUGCAGUCUCCUCAGAGGCACCACAGAUCCUUAAUAAGGUGCCUUACCCCGUCUGGCUCAUGAGACCAGAUGAAUACUGCCUGAUGUGGGUGUCUGCUGACCUCAUCUCUUUUGCUGUUGUUGUAGGAAUAUUCAUUUUCCAGAACUAUCACAUGAUCAGGUAUCGCAUGAGCGGUAUGCGCAGCUACAACCCUGAACAAAUCAUGCUGAGUGCCGCAGUCAGGAGGUCCAGCAGAGACCUCAACGUGAUGAAGGAGAAACUAAUUUUCUCUGGUCAACCUCAGUAGCAGCCUUUGUGAUGUACAGCACCUCCUGUCCAUGCUACCACCAGUGUGACUUACAUUUCAUGCAUCCAUUGCAUCUCUCGUUGCCUGCCACUCCUCUGUGUACUAUGCCCUUCUCCCCCUCAUCCAUCCAUCAUCCCUUCAUGCACCAAACCUCCCCCAUAACUCUCCUGCUGGAGACAACAUCAUGUGUAGGGGAGCUUAUAGACGCCCCAAUCUGUCUUGACAGCCUCUAGUGCUGGGGGGCAAAGAGGUGGGGAAUGGUGUUGGAAGUGCUGAAGAGCUGUAUGCAGACAAUGGCUACGACUACUACACCAAUCAGGGCAUAAACCAGUGAUUGGGACUUACCUUUGUGAAUCUGCUGUGAGAGACGGAGAUGACAACAACGCUUUGUUUUCACAUCAGAGCGAGGUCUGUCCUCCUCUGUCCUCCUACUCAUUAACUGACAGAUUUCUGUAUCUGAUGCGGAAAACAAACCACGCCAGUUACAUCCUGUACAUGCUGUAAAUAGUUUUAUGUUUUGCUUGUCGGAUAUGCUGCAACAUACACGGGAAUAAAUGCACUUUUAUGAAUAGGACUCGCCAAAUCUGUGGCCUCCUCUCUCACAUCUAAACGUCUGAGAGGCUCUAUAAGUUACCAAUGCCUACUUCUUUUAAAGAUGUGUUUUCAGAUUAUUUUGCGCUGAUUCUCCAAAGCAGUACCUUGGUUGGUUUUAGCCAAUUUACAUGAUAUUAAUGUCUUUUUAAAAAGGCUCUUUAUUUAUGGCUGAAUGAAACUAGUACACUAACGGCUCAUCAUGCUCUCGCCUUCUGUCGACACUCAGCUGCGCUGUUGUUCACAAAAGUAAUGAUAUAAGUAUUUAUAUUUAAAGAGAAAACUUCAAAAGGCAAACGAUUAGUUUACAAAAGCCCUGCCUUCUACUCCUAGUGAAAUAUUCACAUGGUGCAUGUAAGAUAAUUUACUAUUUUGAUAGAGGUUGAAUUUCCCCUUUUCCCAACUUUUGACCGUGUAACAGUAACGAUCAUAUCAAGUAAAAGUGUGCGCGAGCUGUGCUCCCAGUGCAACCAGAAGAACUUGUUGAAAUGGUUUGGGGGAGGGACUUGUGUGCCGUCUCUUCAUUGUAAAUGUGAAUGUGUUGUUGUUUGUCUUUUUUUAAAGAUGUGUAUAAUGUAUUGUGUGUGUAUGGCUGGUAUAUAUAUUUUUAACCUUGUGUGCAGUUCUAUGCUGGGUGAAUAACAUUUCAACAAUGUGAGAGUUAUAGCAAUAGUAAGGUCAAGAUGGAAGUCAUUGAACUGCCUGGUAGGCCUCUGAGCUGCAGUUAAAGUCUGUGGUUGAUUAGUGUUAACAUACACAAUGCAUCUACUAGCUGGUUGCUGGUGUAAAACUGAAUGCUGUAAGGUAACUGAAGUGGGUGCUAAAUGUGAAAAAAAAGCUCUUAGCUUAUUGAAGGGACGCUACAGGUAUCACUACAGGCAGCACAGGUUCAAGGAAUUGACUGUCUGCCUUUUGUGUUUUUCUUUUCUUACGGUAUUACUGUGCCUCAGAAGUAAACAUUAAAACAAUCUUCUAAUA